CAGCAGCAGCCGCGGUAAUACGGAGGGUGCAAGCGUUAAUCGGAAUUACUGGGCGUAAAGCGUGCGUAGGCGGUUUGUUAAGUCUGCUGUGAAAUCCCCGGGCUCAACCUGGGAAUGGCAGUGGAUACUGGCAAGCUAGAGUGUGUCAGAGGAUGGUGGAAUUCCCGGUGUAGCGGUGAAAUGCGUAGAGAUCGGGAGGAACAUCAGUGGCGAAGGCGGCCAUCUGGGACAACACUGACGCUGAGGCACGAAAGCGUGGGGAGCAAACAGGAUUAGAUACCCCUGUAGUCCCUGUCUCUUAUAC
rnacentral:rRNA from 1 species